GUGUUCACUUCAGCAGCACAUAUACUAAAAAAGUGGGAAGAUACAGACAAGGUCAGCAGGGCCCUGCACAAGGAGGACACACAAAUUCGUGACGCGUUACAUAUUUUU
ensembl:snRNA U6 U6 spliceosomal RNA